rnacentral:rRNA from 1 species
CAGUCGCCGCGGGAAAACGUAGGUGGCAAGCGUUGUCCGGAAUUAUUGGGCGUAAAGGGCUCGCAGGCGGUUUCUUAAGUCUGAUGUGAAAGCCCCCGGCUCAACCGGGGAGGGUCAUUGGAAACUGGGAAACUUGAGUGCAGAAGAGGAGAGUGGAAUUCCACGUGUAGCGGUGAAAUGCGUAGAGAUGUGGAGGAACACCAGUGGCGAAGGCGACUCUCUGGUCUGUAACUGACGCUGGGGAGCGAAAGCGUGGGGAGCGAACAGGAUUAGAUACCCCCGUAGUCCCUGUCUCUUAUAC